rnacentral:rRNA from 1 species
GUAAACGAUGAAUACUAGGUGUAGGGGGACUGACCCCCCCUGUGCCGGAGUUAACACAAUAAGUAUUCCACCUGGGGAGUACGACCGCAAGGUUGAAACUCAAAGGGAUUGACGGGGGCCCGCACAAGCAGUGGAUUAUGUGGUUUAAUUCGAAGCAACGCGAAGAACCUUACCAGGGCUUGACAUGGAGACGACCGCACUGGAGACAGUGCUUUCCUUCGGGACGUCUCACACAGGUGGUGCAUGGUUGUCGUCAGCUCGUGUCGUGAGAUGUUGGGUUAAGUCCCGCAACGAGCGCAACCCCUAUUGUUAGUUGCUACGCAAGAGCACUCUAGCGAGACUGCCGUUGAUAAAACGGAGGAAGGUGGGGACGACGUCAAAUCAUCAUGCCCCUUAUGUCCUGGGCUACACACGUAGUACAAUGGCGUUCAACAGAGGGAAAGCUAAGCCGCGAGGUGGAGCAAAUCCCCAAAAGGCGUCUCAGUUCGGAU